rnacentral:rRNA from 1 species
AUGCCCGUCGUCGCCGUCUUGAUGAGGAACCCGGAGAAGUCCCUACAGGAAGCUGGGGCCGCAUUGAUUGUCAGUGACUAUGAAGACCGAAAACUGUGGAACGCGCUCGAGGAAAUUGAUAAGGAGGAAGCAAAGCAAAGCUAA